AGUGAACGCUGGCGGCGUGCUUAACACAUGCAAGUCGAACGAGAACGGAAUAUAGCUUGCUAUAUUUGUCAGCUAAGUGGCGCACGGGUGAGUAAUGUAUAGAUAACCUGCCCUUAAGAAAGGAAUAACAGUUGGAAACGACUGCUAAUGCCCUAUAUGCCUUUAAUUCAUAAGUAUGCAAGGGAAACGCCUUAGUGCUUAAGGAUGGGUCUGUAUGGUAUCAGCUUGUUGGUGAGGUAAUGGCUCACCAAGGCUAUGACGCCUAACUGGUUUGAGAGGAUGAUCAGUCACACUGGAACUGAGACACGGUCCAGACUCCUACGGGAGGCAGCAGUGGGGAAUAUUGCACAAUGGACGAAAGUCUGAUGCAGCAACGCCGCGUGGAGGAUGACACAUUUCGGUGCGUAAACUCCUUUUAUAUAGGAAGAUAAUGACGGUACUAUAUGAAUAAGCACCGGCUAACUCCGUGCCAGCAGCCGCCGUAA
rnacentral:rRNA from 1 species